AUUGUUUGUGGGACACAAGAUGUGUCAUAGACCAGAUGGUCGUGUGCUGUAUAACUCAGUUAUCUGAGAAGACAGAGUAAAGGAAUGUGUGCUAAGGGAGAGCAGGGCACCAUCUGUUCCACUUUUUUUUUUCCUUGUGGCCAGAAAGGGACUUUAAAAACAAAAGUGGCCUCUUUGGUUAUAAUAUCCCAUUUUCAUUUUGCUAAUUUUACCACCGGGACUUGGCCCAGGUGAAUUGCAUUUCAGGGCAGGAACAAUUAGCAAGUGUUUAUCUUCCUAGCUCUAUCAUUUAGAAAUAAAAUGCCUCUGAGACCUCCUUGGUCAUUUACCAUUCAAAACCACAAAGGUAUUUUCACCAGAUGAACCGUCACUGUUUUGUACAUACAGAACAUAACCAAUGAGGAUAUUUCUGCUGGCUGAAGGAAGCAGGCUGAAAGGAGUGCCUAAAAAUCUAUUCACUGGAACAAAGUAGAUAUCAAGAAUAGAACAAGGCUCUUGGUUGCUAUGUCUAUAUCUAACGUCCCCAGUGGGUCAAUAGGAUAAAAGGUGCAAGAUGCAGAUACUUUUGAGUGACAUCUCUAAUAAAGUAUAUGAAUCGUAUAUUGGAUUGCAACAUGCUGUGUUGCUGGUUUAUUGCAGCACUUCAAAUACACAUAGAAUAAAUCUUUGUUCUGUUA